CUCCAAAAUGAGUGGUUCUUUUUGCAUUUUGAUCCUUAUGACUUGUAGUUUUCAAAUGUGCCAUUACAUGACUUAAAUUUCCUUUGCAUGGGCAUGUGCUUAUUGUAACACCCCAAAAUUUGCCCUCCUCAUUCAUGCAUUCAUUUAGCAUUUCAUAUUGCAUUUCAAUCAGAAUUAGAUCCAAGAAACUUAAAAAAAAACGAAAAAAAAUAAAUAAAUAAUUUUUUACAAAAAAAAAAAAAAAAAAAUAUAUAAUAGAAAAACUUGGACU
rnacentral:lncRNA from 1 species